GGCUGUUGGUCGCUGGGUCGAGACGUCUGAUCGUUGGUAUAUGCGGCUAAAGUCCCGAUCAAAUAAUUCGACGCAUACAGUCGGUGAAGAUAGUGCAAAAUUAAAUGGUUUAUUGGCGGGUAUCGAGCCGUGACGCGGACUCGAACAACUGAGCUGAGAGCGACUGCAGGAAGACUAUAGGAAAGGCUCAUUAGCCGCAGACAGUUGACAGGACAAAGCUGGAUUGUUCUUUCCCCUCUGCUCAGCCUCAAUGUCGACCCCGUAUCACCCCUUAGUCCGCCAUCAUCCGUCGUCCACGAAUUAAGGAUCUUGCUUCUCGGGCUCGUCAACCGGCAAUCCAAAUCAGAUAAAUGACUUUUAAUUUUUAUGUAUCAUAACACUCAUUCCGGAAUACAUGAAUGUAUCCCAUCGUAAGGACGAUUUCACUUUUGCAAUAAGAAACAGAAGAUGUUUUCUGUGACAUCGCAUAUGCCAGAUUAUACAAUUAAGGAAAGAAUUGUAACACUAUCUGUCAGUGAUUAAUUUAUAUUUCAAUUUAUAACAUAUCGAAGUGAAUUCGCUUUUAACUCGUGUUAAAGUUUAUAUUCAGUCAUGGUGGAACGUUAAUAUAGAUCAUAUUAAUAACCAUCCACACGUUGAACCAUGCAUACAUUAAUAAAAUUUGCGCAAAUAUAUGCCAGCUGUGACUGCGACGAUUAAAUCGCCAACAUUAUUUAUCGAACAGGUUUCCUACGAUUAAUUACAUUAAACCGGACUUACAGGAUUAAAAUCCGCUUGAUAUAUAUGAUUCAUUAUAUUUUGUUCGUUAUGCAAUUUAAAAAAAGAUAUAUUUGAGAUGUUUACCCAGUAAAUGUUUACCAUUAUGUUUUAUUCUAGGUAAACUUUUUAGCUAAGAAGCGAACGUUAUACAAAGAUCAUUUGAAGUUUUGUUAGAAGCUUGUUAAAGUAUCAAAGAAUCAAUUAAAAAACGAAAAAUUCGAACGUUCUUUAAUUAACUAGAUAACAUUCUUCUUUACAAUUAAACAUUACAUUCAUUACAUUUGCAGAACAUUUCAAUCCUAACAAGACAUAUGCGAUGAAUUAAAAAAAAAAAAACUCAACUAAAACACAUACAAGUGACUAAAUAACGACGAACAAAAAGCUGAAAAAAGCUCGACGUAGAUCGAAAUUAAUGGAAAGCGAACACGAGGCAGAAGAACGAUCUACAAUUCGUUUUCGUCCACAUGUGUCAGGUCGGGCCAAAACGCAACCCCGCCGUUACGGCGUCUCGGCUGAUUUAUCGAAAUUUCACGUCGAAUUGGCUCGCACGGGGAUCAACCAACAGUGAAUCGGAGGACAGACCGAAAAGAACGUGGCUGUUAGUUCGGCCGGCUCAUAAUUUGUUCACGGUUAUUUUUAGGCGAGUCUCAAUCUCGUCGUGUCGACACGAAUGAGAGUGACUCCUCGGCGCCAGUGGUACUGUCAGUCGUAACAGUGACAACGAGACCGACCGUUCGAUGCUGGAACGAAAAUAAAUCCCUGGAUGGGCUACGAAGGCUCGCAAGAGCCACGGAUCCUCGUGGAAUUUUGGGACACGUGUGCAAACACUGCGGCAAAGCUCGUUAUUGUUCGCCAGCUAGAAUUCCCGCGGUUUUAUUCAUCGACGAUUUCGCGAACAACGCUGCCUUUAUCCUGUUCUGGAUUUCCCAUCAACGAACGCUUAAAACGAUUUCUGCGAAUGGUUACGGUUUACGUGGAAAUGUACUGCUACAUCCAGGAUAGAAAUUGUAAAUUAAUAGAAUACGAAGAAAUUUUUAUACUUAUACUUAAAUUCACGAUUUGGGAAAGUUAUCAUUUUCAUAAAUUUAACCUUGCGAUUCGGAAAUUACGGUUUUUGUAGAUUUAACUUCGUUGUUUAAAUUCCAAUUCUUCGAUACAAAAGGUGUACAGAGAUAACUAAUGAUACAUUAGUGAUACAAUGAUGUACAAACGAUA